rnacentral:rRNA from 1 species
UUAGAUGUAAAUAAAAUUUACCAGAGUACUACGAAUCAAAUUUAAAACUCAAAGAGCUUGGCGGUGCCUUAGACUUUUCAGGGGAACCUGUCUCAUAAUCGACAAUCCACGAACAACCUCACCCUUAACAGUAUGUAUACCGUCGUCGCCAGGUAACUUUUAAAAAUAUAGCAGUUAGCCAAUUUUUACGUCAGAUCAAGGUGCAGCCUAUAGAAGGGAGCAGAUGGGUUACAAUUAAAAUUUAUAACUACGGAUAAUGGUCAAUGAAGGAGGACUUGAAAGUAAAAAUUAGUAACUAAAUACUUUGAAUUAAGCUCUGAGGCG